rnacentral:rRNA from 1 species
GUAACACGUGGGUGAUCUGCCCUGCACUUCGGGAUAAGCCUGGGAAACUGGGUCUAAUACCGGAUAUGACUACGGGAUGCAUGUCUUGUGGUGGAAAGAUUUAUCGGUGCAGGAUGGGCCCGCGGCCUAUCAGCUUGUUGGUGGGGUAAUGGCCUACCAAGGCGACGACGGGUAGCCGACCUGAGAGGGUGACCGGCCACACUGGGACUGAGACACGGCCCAGACUCCUACGGGAGGCAGCAGUGGGGAAUAUUGCACAAUGGGCGGAAGCCUGAUGCAGCGACGCCGCGUGAGGGAUGACGGCCUUCGGGUUGUAAACCUCUUUCGACAGGGACGAAGCGGAAGUGACGGUACCUGUAGAAGAAGCACCGGCCAACUACGUGCCAGCAGCCGCGGUAAUACGUAGGGUGCGAGCGUUGUCCGGAAUUACUGGGCGUAAAGAGCUUGUAGGCGGUUCGUCGCGUCGUUCGUGAAAACCUACCGCUCAACGGUGGGCUUGCGGUCGAUACGGGCGGACUAGAGUACUUCAGGGGAGACUGGAAUUCCUGGUGUAGCGGUGAAAUGCGCAGAUAUCAGGAGGAACACCGGUGGCGAAGGCGGGUCUCUGGGAAGUAACUGACGCUGAGAAGCGAAAGCGUGGGUAGCGAACAGGAUUAGAUACCCUGGUAGUCCACGCCGU